CAGUAGCCGCGGUAAUACGAAGGGGGCUAGCGUUGUUCGGAUUUACUGGGCGUAAAGGGCGCGUAGGCGGACUGAUAAGUCAGGGGUGAAAUCCCAAGGCUCAACCUUGGAACUGCCUUUGAUACUGUUUGUCUUGAGUUCGAGAGAGGUAAGUGGAACUGCGAGUGUAGAGGUGAAAUUCGUAGAUAUUCGCAAGAACACCAGUGGCGAAGGCGGCUUACUGGCUCGAAACUGACGCUGAGGCGCGAAAGCGUGGGGAGCAAACAGGAUUAGAUACCCCAGUAGUCCCUGUCUCUUAUAC
rnacentral:rRNA from 1 species